UACCUGGUUGAUCCUGCCAGUAGUCAUAUGCUUGUCUCAAAGAUUAAGCCAUGCAAGUCUAAGUACGAGCUCUCGUACAGUGAAACUGCGAAUGGCUCAUUAAAUCAGUUAUGGUUCAUUUGAUCGUACAGUUUACUUGGAUAACUGUGGUAAUUCUAGAGCUAAUACAUGCGAGAAGCGCCGACCUCGCGGGAGGCGUGCAUUUAUCAGACCAAAAACCGGCCGCGUCUUCGGGCGCGUUCGCCUUGGUGACUCUGGAUAACUUUGCGGAUCGCACGGUCUAGCACCGGCGACGGAUCAUUCAAGUGUCUGCCCUAUCAACUUUCGUCGGUACGGUAUUUGCCUACCGAGGUUCUUACGGGUGACGGGGAAUCAGGGUUCGAUUCCGGAGAGGGAGCCUGAGAAACGGCUACCACAUCCAAGGAAGGCAGCAGGCGCGCAAAUUACCCAUUCCCGACGCGGGGAGGUAGUGACGAAAAAUAACAAUGCAGGACUCGUUCGAGGCCCUGUAAUUGGAAUGAGUACACUUUAAAAGCUUUAACGAGUAUCCAUAUGGAGGGGCAAGUCUGGUGCCAGCAGCCGCGGUAAUUCCAGCUCCAAA
rnacentral:ncRNA from 1 species